GAGCUCUAGUGUUGGGUACGCGUUUUCUUUCUUCUUUCUUCUUUUUAUUCCGCUGACCUCGUCUGCACCACUUCAGGAUGUUGGUUCAUCCGGUAUUGUGGAGGGGAGGAUGUUUUAUUCCUUUUCGAAGACAUAUACUUCCAGCUUAUGCAGAUUUUAAAAUUUUUUUCUGACAGUACAUUGAAGAGCUGUGGGCCUUUGUCUCUAGACUAUUGCAGUACCUUGUCCUGAAUUUAGAUAGAGUAGAUAGUACCUUUGGCACAAAACAACGGCGACCAAUUCUGGCAUUUGUAUAACACUCAAUGCCGAAAUUAGGUACUAGACUUUCUAGAAUUUUCCAUGUGUAGAUUAUAACAUAUCUCUGACACCUUCGCUCCACUGAAUAAAAUUGCUCAUUAUGUAGCUCAUCCACUGCACUAUUUCAAUGUUUUUAGUGUAGUGGAGUUGAACUGCUUCAAGCUCUGCAACUAGUCUGGCACUAUGUGAUGACCAUAACUGUAAGCAGUAGUUCAGGCGGCUGAGAACAAAGGCUCUCCACAGGGUCAACAUAGUUUCUUGCUCUCUUGUCUUGAAGGACCUCUGUAUCCAUCCUACCAGUUGUCUGCAUUUUGCUGUCAAAUUGCUAAGGUGCAUAUAAAUAAUGCAUCAUUGCACAUACUGAUUCACACACUGGAUGUGACUCUGGGAUUGUAGUGCCUUCAUUUUCUGUAUAUGUAGGUUGUAGUGCAUUCGUGAGUUGAUAGCACAGUGCUUGAAAAUUUCCCUCAUUAAACUGCACGUACUUUUAUUUUUCGGCCCACUUGUUUAUCGAAUCCAGGUCCCGCUGUAAGCUUGUGAUGUCAUUUUUUAUUGCCUGUGAUAAUCUUGUAUCGUAUAAUUGGCAUAAAUAGUGACAGUGGGCAUGUCUAAGAGAGCUAUUGUAAACAGUAGUGGCCCCAGAACAAUUCCAGUGGGGACGCCACAUAGGAUUUUAGUUUCCUCAGAAAGGGUACCGUUGGCUGCAACUGACUUCUGUUUUCAAGGAAGUCAUGCAGCUACUCUCCCAAUUUACCAGCAAUACCUAUUUCUUUACUACCUACAAGGGGCCAAACACAGAGGGGACAAACAAACGGAUUAAGUCGAUUACAUCGACCCCAGUGCGCAACUGGUACUUAAUUUAUCGACCCCGAAAGGAUGAAAGGCAAAGUCGACCUCGGCGGAAUUUGAGCUCAGAACGUAACGACAGACGAAAUACGGCUACGCAUUUCGCCCGGUGUGCUAACGAUUCUGCCAGCUCGCCGCAAUGCCAAGGUAUGGUAGCGCAUGACAUAUGCCAUGAUGUACCUUAUCAAAUGCCUUUGCAAAGUCAAGGUAUAUCACGCUGACAUCUGAAUGAUCAAGUAGCUGUUUCAAAAUCCACUCAUAGUGCUGUAGGAGUUGUUUGAGGCAGCUUCUUCCCGAACGGAAGCCAUGCUGUGUAUUGUUCAGCAGGACAUUUUCUUUUAGGAACAUUGUCAAUUUCUGUCUGAUGAUUCGCGUCAUGAGUUUACUGAUAUGUGAAGUCAGAGAAAUUGGCCUCUGUUUUUGGCCUCUGCUCUGCUACCAUCUUUGUGGAUAGGGCAUACAAUACCUUCUUUCAGUUUUUUUAGGAAGUAUACCGCAUGCAAGGAAACUUUGGAAACGUAUCUGAAGUGGUUUCGCUAAAGCCUGUUUACAUGAUGUUAGGAGGAUAGCUGGGAAGCCAUAAAGACCAGUUGGGCAGCAUGAGCUCAUUACAUCUAUGGCCGCUGUUACAUUAUGUCUCCGCAAUAUCGAUGUAAUCGAUGGCUGGCGCAUCUUUUUUCAGAGCUGCAAUAUUAAAGAAUUCAGCUGGAGUUUUUUUUAUUUGUAUGCGUCCAAGGGGAGAAGUGAAGACACUUUUAAAUUGUUCACUGAGUGUAUCUCUUAUCCUUUCUGGGUCCGCUGAAGUGAAUCAUUCCCUUGGAACAAUGGGCCUAUUUUAUAUUGCAUUGUGGCUGUUUCCUUUGCGAAUUUAUUGAAAGCGUUGGUAUUUGAUUUUAUGCUGUUCACAGCUAAUUCUCUCUCUCUCUCUGCUCUGCUCUUUAGUGAGAGUUUGAUUUCGUUUUCGAUUUCUAGGAGUGUCCGUAUUAAGAUAGACUUCUCCCUGUCCUUCAGUUGCUUACUCAGCCGCUUUGAGACAUUUUUUAGAGCUGCAAUAUCAAACAAUUAAGACGAAUACAUUAUUUGCAUGUAUUUAAGGGAAGAAGUGGAUACACUUUUACAUCUAUCUAUCUAUCUAUCCGUCUAUCUAUCUCACUAUCUAUCUAUUUACGUCUCUCUCUCUCUCUCUCUCUCUCUCUCUUUAUAUAUAUCUAUAAUAUAAAUUGGUCAUGGGCGAUCGUUGUAUUCUUUCUUUCUUCAGGUUCACAGCCAAACGGCUGGGUGGAUUCCUAUCAAAAAAUAGUACAAAGAUGCAUAGACUGGAAUGCAGUUUGAAUUUUUUUCCUAGCCCCAUACUUAC
rnacentral:lncRNA from 1 species